rnacentral:rRNA from 1 species
UGCCAGCCGCCGCGGUAAUACGGAGGGUCCGAGCGUUAUCCGGAAUUACUGGGUUUAAAGGGUGCGUAGGCUGCGCAAUAAGUCAGAGGUGAAAGGCCACCGCUUAACGGUGGGACUGCCUUUGAUACUGUUGAGCUAGAAUAUGGAUGAGGUUGGCGGAAUGCGGCAUGUAGCGGUGAAAUGCAUAGAUAUGCCGUAGAACACCAAUUGCGAAGGCAGCUGACUGGACCACUAUUGACGCUGAGACCCCAAAGCGCGUGCAGCGAACAGCGUCAGCUA